AGUCUUGACACUAAUGACAUAUAAAAACCUAAACAAAACAACUUUUAAAAUUUAAAAUCCAAAUUAAAGAAUAAAUAAAUUAACAAUAGUGUUUUCAACCCUUAAACCUUAAAAACUUUACCCGUAGAUCCCAACUCCUUAAGUUGUUCAUUUUAAAACGAAACCAGUAAGUGCCAAAACGUGAUUAUAUUUGAUGACACCCCUGUUUGUUCAAUAACAUAAACUUCACACUAAAUUAAUGAUUUUUCUCACCCCGCACGUUCAAUGAGUUCAGACGAUAACGACAAAUCCACUGAGAGGGUGCUGGAAUAUUACCAGAAGUAUUCCCAAAACAAGAAUCUUCCUAAAUACUUCUCGGGCACCUCAGUAUCAUAUUUGCCCCCAAUAGAAGUCGACAGUGAUGACAACAGUAAGUACAUACCUAAAAACAGGCCUGAGAUUCCCAAGAUCACUGUUACUGAGGAAGUUAAGUAUGUAGAAAAAGAAAUUGUGCUAGUUAAUAAUUCUCCAAAUGCCAGCUCCUCUGAAAGUCCUUCUGAGCAUAAAAAACUUGAAUGGGAUAAUGGGGCUGACAUAGGUUAUCAUUCUGCCAGGGAAUAUUCAAGAAAAAAACUUUUUAAGAGUGCAUCCUUGCCUAUUAUCGAUAAAGCUAUCACUGAUCAAAUCAUUAUUCUCCCAAAAGAAAAACCUUCUACCAUAAUAGCUCAUCACGGCAGUGAUGAAAAUAUAGACCUAAUAGUAUACAGUUCAGAGAGCAGUUGUACCAAAAGCAACCCAGACAGCAAAGAAAGCCCAAUUUCAUCGAACACACCAGCAGAGACCCCAAAAUCUUCAACUUCAGAGACCAGUUCAGCUUUGGAGCCACCAAAAAGCCACUCUGACUCAGAUGUCUCCAAAUUCGUAGAGUUUCAAAGUUCAAUAGAUUAUUUAAAGAAGAAAAUUGGUUUGCCAGGGGCUCAGUCCACACCAAAUAUUAUUGAGCUUGAUUUGGGCAAAAUUGGGAGUUCGGGAACUUCUUUGGCCGCUUUAUUGUCUGGAAAGAGCAGUAGCGAGGCAAGUAGCAGCUCUGGGAAAGGAACUGGACAAUUACACUUAAAAGUAUCAGACAACUCAAUAAUGCAAAAACCUUCAGAUGAAGGCUCAAACAUGACCCAAAAAACUACAAGCACUACCUCUAACCUUCAAUCGAAAAGCACCAAAAAGACCUUUCAAACGAAAUUUGUAGAACUAAGUAUAUCCACUCCUAUAAAUGUAAACUGUAAGGGACCAACUGUUUGCUCCAAAGAUAAAAUAUUACAGACUGAAACUGUUUUUACCCCAAAAGCAGUACAAACUGACAAUUUCACCCCUAAAAGUGAUGUUAAAACUAAUAAAAAAGACCAGGAAGUGCAAUACACUUUAUAUGGAGAGGCUGACUUGGCUUCUAGUUUUGAAUACAUCAACAUUAGUGACAGUGACAAUGUAAAAAAAUCAAGCCAAGAAGAGCCAUUUUGUACUGCAUUAAUAAGCAAACAGUGCAACUCCUCUAAAAAAUCUACAAACAUAUCUGGAGGUUUAUCCAGCACAGUAGAUUCUAGUAACAUAUCAAAAUCCAGCUCAGAAGACAUUGACAAGCAAAUAGAGAAACUGCAAAGGCUCCUCAAGAGCAAGAAAGCCGACCAUGGCACCAAGAAAAAGCUGCUGAAGCUUUUAGGAGAUUUGGAUACAUCCGUAGACUCCAGUGCCAGUUCGGAAUUCUUUGUGCCUAAAAAAGAUAAGAAACUGAAGACAAAAGUUGUAUUUAAGGACGCGGACAAUAUUAUAUCAGCUUAUAAAGAGCGAAAGUCCAGUCAAGCCAGUACAAGCGAGACAAAAUUUCAAAGUCGGUCCAUUUUACCGAGCCAUAGCGAGAGUUCGGACAGUAGCAAAGCAGCACUUCCAAAGACAGGUGAAAGUUCUAUUAAAAGUCCUUGUGAGGGGCCGGUUUCUUCUCAUAUUGUAGCGCGAAAAGCCGCUAAAAACGUGGACCGAAGCAACGGAGACGGUGUGCACGUGUCCGAUAUUGAUGAGCAAGUAAAAUUUAAGAAUAAUCAAAUCAUUCAAUCUUUAACUACACAUUGCAGUAAAGCAAUAAGUCCGCCAACUAAUGCUACUACAAGCAGCUCAGCAGGUUCCCACUCAGUGGCCAACUUAACUAAGAAGCCCUCAGACGACUAUUUGCUAAAGUUUGCUGAAAACGAACGGAACUAUCAGCUUAAUUGGAUCAACAACGAAAUUAGUCACCUCUCUAAGCUUAAAAGCAUCUUGGAGCUUAAAAGUGGCAAGUCCUCCCUAAUGACCCCUGAUCCCUCACAACCCCAGACGAACAUUUACAACAUAAUCCGUAAAGAUGAUGCCUCGAAAAAGAGCUCAGAAAGGAACUACGUGAUCCAGACUCAUAUCCACGCGAGCAAACAACCGAUUAACAACUACCGCCUUAAUGGUCAGGAGUUUUUGUUAUCAGACUCAAAAAGCUCCCCAGACAGCGACCGAGCUGUUAUAGCCGACAUAGAAGUCAGCUCUGACGAGAAAAACACCAACAUCAAAGUAAGGACUUUCUGCUCCGCAUGUAAACGCCCCAUAUGCAUCUGCAGCUCCUCCAAGAAAACAAUUAACUCCAAACUUAGCUCACUUAAGUCUGAGACUGCAGGGAAAAAAGAGAGCUUGGAAGAAAAUUCCGCAAGGAAACUUUCUCGGUCUCAAGAACUGCGGCCGUGUAAUAAAUGCACUAAACCAAUAUGCCUUUGUCCAAAUAACAAGACUUCUUCCAGUAGUACAAGUGAUACUAGCUUCUUAGAGUGUAUUUCCGAUUCGGAAAACCCUGAAUAUAUAAAUUCUUUACAGAAGGCUUUCAGGGAUUGCUGCUGCACAGUAAAAGACGCAAAUUGCGGCUGCGAUUUCGUUAAAAAGUUGCUCAAGAAAUUCCAGGAGCAGCAAAAAACUAGGGAUAAUGAGGAGGCAGCAUUACGACAGCAACCAGUCCCAAAUACAAGUAACAUGCCAGAGCUCCAGACUCAAACUGAACCCCUUAACUUAGCUAGGAAAGUCCAAACAGAACAUGCAGAAGCCGAAAAUAUCGCGGUAGAAACAAACAAAACAUCCCAAAAAGACCGCCCUUUACAAGUAGCUCCCACUCAGGACCAUCAAAAGAAUCAAACUGUCGAAAAGGUUCAAAUGGUGCACAGCCUGAGUCAACAGACUAAAAUUCAAGUUUCCAUUCCGCCAGUGAGUCAAGAAGUUGAGCAACAGCAAACAAAUGGUCGGGAAAUAAGGGAUCAAGCAGUAGAAGCACGAGAACCAUUGAGAGAUUGUAAAUGCCAAAUUAGCCCUGUCAGAGAUAACCGGAAGGCGCAAACUGUAGAGAAGAUGAGGCUCUCAGAAGCUGUAGCACAAGCUCACGUUGAAUCAACAGAAGCAGCUGCCCAAGUAAUGAUUCCUUCACCUGUAAACACGGAUACUUGCUUAAAUGUAGAGGAUCUUAAGCCUGUCGAGUCUUUACUGGCUGGAAAAUUGACUGACCAACGUCGUUUUUCCACGUCUAAAAACGACGACUUGCAACGGAGGCAUAUUGGGGUACAAGUGCUUCCCAACUCUUCCUCUUCAGCCUCUCAGUCCGAACCAGGGUCAAAUCAAAAUAAGUUGCUCGGAACCGUUUCUUCCAAGUCAACAGAUAAAUCGAUACAAUUUAAGGAGGCUGGAGUACAAUAUGAGACCAUAAAGGAACCCUCAAGCAGAACCAGUUCAACGGGGAUCACAUUACCCACAAACACCACCAUGUCAGAGUCCACAAGCAGCAAUUGUGCCCGCGUAACUUGUCGCGGUUGCAAACAAAAGGCUUUUUUGGCAGAAGUCAGCUAUAUACAAGAAGGAGAUGAGUCUAUAGCAGUGUGUAGCCGAUGCUACUAUGAAAAAACCCGAAGUCAUUCUGCUCAGCGUUCCGUUAGUCACUAUUGCCACUGUUGGGACCACUGGAGGGCCCGGAUGGGGAGUAUGUACUGUAGAUGCUGUAGAGUGGAGGCGUCCAAGUGUCCCAAGCGCCCUCAAGGGCUCGCCUACACCGUAACCCUUGAAGAAAAAAAACGUCAUAGGUCUUCUAAGAAUGGUUUGGAUAUUAAGGUGCAAAAGGGUUGGAGCAGGAAGAGCUUGAAGAAUAAGGAGAACUAUCAUAAAAAGAGCGGUGAGAAGCGGUUGCAGAAGGAGGACGACGAGAAGGAUGAAAAAGAGCGCGAGCCGAAAAGGUCGAAACGAGGCCAAAACGGAGUACCUAAUUAGGAAUCGGCCCGAGUUUGUUUAUUCGGCCGAGUAUCGGAGACAAAUGCUGUUACAUUCUAGGAUAUUAAGGGAGCGACAGAAGGAUGGGGCCAAAUUGGAUUUUUUGGAUAGUAACCUUAAGGAUGGAGAUAAAGACCAAUUUAAGCUAUUUACUGAAAAAGAAAUGAAAGAAAUAAACAAGAAAAACUACCAAAAGUUACCGGAGGUACAAGAAAAACUAUGGAACCAAAGAGAAACCAAAUUACGGACCGCCGAUAGACUGAUUACUAAUAUGUUCGCUAAG
rnacentral:misc_RNA from 1 species